UACGUAGGGGGCAAGCGUUGUCCGGAUUUAUUGGGCGUAAAGAGCGUGUAGGCGGUUUGGUAGGUCCGUUGUGAAAACUCGAGGCUCAACCUCGAGACGCCGAUGGAAACCAUCAGACUAGAGUCCGGAAGAGGAGAGUGGAAUUCCUGGUGUAGCGGUGAAAUGCGCAGAUAUCAGGAAGAACACCCGUGGCUAAGGCGGGUCUCUGGGCCGUUACUGACGCUGAGGAGCGAAAGCGUGGGGAGCGAACAGG
rnacentral:rRNA from 1 species